GAUAAACGUGGCGGCGUGCCUAAUGCAUGCAAGUCGCACGAGAAGCCACCUUCGGGUGGUGGACAGUGGCGGACGGGUGAGUAACACGUAGGAACCUGCCCAGAAGUGGGGGACAACUUUCCGAAAGGGAAGCUAAUACCGCAUAUGGUCUACGGACCAAAGCUUUCGAGCGCUUCUGGAGGGGCCUGCGGCGGAUUAGUUAGUUGGUGGGGUAACGGCCUACCAAGGCGACGAUCUGUAGCUGGUCUGAGAGGACGGUCAGCCACACUGGGACUGAGACACGGCCCAGACUCCUACGGGAGGCAGCAGCAAGGAAUUUUGCACAAUCGACGCAAGUCGGAUGCAGCAACGCCGCGUGGGGGAAGAAGGCCUUCGGGUCGUAAACCCCUUUUUCGAGGGAAGAAGAUCUGACGGUACCUCGCGAAUAAGUCACGGCUAACUACGUGCCAGCAGCCGCGGUAAUACGUAGGUGGCAAACGUUGUCCGGAUUCACUGGGCGUAAAGCGCGCGCAGGCGGGCUGAUCAGUCUGGGGUGAAAUCUCUCGGCUCAACCGAGAGAGGCCCUCAGAUACUGUCAGCCUUGAGGUGCCUAGAGGAGAGUGGAAUUCAGGGUGUAGUGGUGGAAUGCGUAGAUAUCCUGAGGAACACCAGUGGCGAAGGCGACUCUCUGGGGGCAUUCUGACGCUGAGGCGCGAAAGCGUGGGGAGCGAACCGGAUUAGAUACCCGGGUAGUCCACGCCGUAAACGAUGAGUACUAGUUGUCCGUGGUAUCGACGCCUCGGGUAACGAAGCUAACGCGUUAAGUACUCCGCCUGGGGACUAC
rnacentral:rRNA from 1 species